rnacentral:rRNA from 1 species
CCUACGGGAGGCAGCAGUAGGGAAUCUUCCGCAAUGGACGAAAGUCUGACGGAGCAACGCCGCGUGAGCGAAGAAGGCCUUCGGGUCGUAAAGCUCUGUUGUAAGGGAAGAACAAGUACCGGAGUAACUGCCGGUACCUUGACGGUACCUAACCAGAAAGCCACGGCUAACUACGUGCCAGCAGCCGCGGUAAU